UAGAAAGCUGCGGUUUAUUGCAUUGGAAAGAGUGGCCCGUUUACUAUAAGAAUCGAUGAAAAAGUGAAACCCGAUUUUUUCUGACCGUAGGUUCCUUUUAACUUUACUUGUCACAUAUAUUAAGUCAGUAAAAUUUUAAGCAGGUGGCAACUUUAUCAAAAAGGUUUUCUUUUUACCUGAAACGGUGAACUGCCCUUCAAAAUGGUGUUUCAAUCAUUCAAUUAGAUGGAGUAUUAUGGAAGAUAUGGCGCUUUAUUGGCCGGAUGCAGUGCUUUCAGCUUUUACAAAUCCCCUUUCAUUAAAAAAUAAUCCGCCCUAUCGCCAAUUUCGUAUGAAUAAAUCUUUCCCAUAAUUUAACAUGCAAAACAAAAACAAAUUGGGAAAAAUUGUUUUUGUUUUGCUUUAUAAUUUUUGGGAAUAUUUGUUCAUGUGAAAUUCGCGAUAGGGCCGAAUUUAAUUUGAACAACGUACAUGAAGCAUGUACGCGAGCUUCUUCUCUUCAAAAUGAGAUAUUAUUCAUUAGAUUUGAUGAAAUAUUAAAGGAGAUAUCGUUUGGUAACAGAAAAAUUCCUAUUAGAAAUUAGAUUUUAGGCGUAAAGUUUCAGUAACCAAUCCUAUUUUUGUCCAUUUUUUAAUAGUAUAAAAUGAUGGCCGGUCUAAUGGACAGACAUAUACAUAGAUAUCGGUUGCCAAAUCGCCCGGCCUAAUGCAUAUGAAUCCAAGCCUUCGUGCCUCGCCAGGAACAGAAUUUGCCCACGUUUUGAAAUGAAUCUCGCGCUUUCAACACUCAAAAUUAUGUCCACGUUUAAUCAAUAUCAUGAUGCUUAAUAAGAUUUCUUAAUUCUUUAAGUGAUCAAAGAUACCUACUAUGAACUUAAGAUAAGCAAGAUAAAUCCGUUAUUAAAAAAUCGUUUUCUAUAAAUUAUAAAAAACUGACUAUAAAUAUA